rnacentral:rRNA from 1 species
UACGUAGGGGGCAAGCGUUGUCCGGAUUUAUUGGGCGUAAAGAGCGUGUAGGCGGCCAGGCAGGUCCGUUGUGAAAACUGGAGGCUCAACCUCCAGACGUCGAUGGAAACCGCUUGGCUAGAGUCCGGAAGAGGAGAGUGGAAUUCCUGGUGUAGCGGUGAAAUGCGCAGAUAUCAGGAAGAACACCGAUGGCGAAGGCAGCUCUCUGGGACGGUACUGACGCUGAGACGCGAAAGCGUGGGGAGCGAACAGG